rfam:Ictidomys tridecemlineatus contig104253, whole genome shotgun sequence.
GGGGUUGUGGCUCAGCAGUAGAGUGCUUGCCUAGCACACAUGAGGCCUGGGUUCGAUCCUCAGCAGCACAU